rnacentral:rRNA from 1 species
GAUGAACGCUGGCGGCGUGCCUAAUACAUGCAAGUCGAGCGAACGGACGAGAAGCUUGCUUCUCUGAUGUUAGCGGCGGACGGGUGAGUAACACGUGGAUAACCUACCUAUAAGACUGGGAUAACUUCGGGAAACCGGAGCUAAUACCGGAUAAUAUUUUGAACCGCAUGGUUCAAAAGUGAAAGACGGUCUUGCUGUCACUUAUAGAUGGAUCCGCGCUGCAUUAGCUAGUUGGUAAGGUAACGGCUUACCAAGGCAACGAUGCAUAGCCGACCUGAGAGGGUGAUCGGCCACACUGGAACUGAGACACGGUCCAGACUCCUACGGGAGGCAGCAGUAGGGAAUCUUCCGCAAUGGGCGAAAGCCUGACGGAGCAACGCCGCGUGAGUGAUGAAGGUCUUCGGAUCGUAAAACGCUGUUAUUAGGGAAGAACAUAUGUGUAAGUAACUGUGCACAUCUUGACGGUACCUAAUCAGAAAGCCACGGCUAACUACGU